UUCCCCUCAGCUUGCCAGCUGGGCAGCCAGUGUAACUGCAGAGCAGGAAACAGCACUGGAGGGUAGGAGUCAUCAAAGCUUGUGCUGGUGAAUCAUCAAGCUGCAGGCUUCUGAGACAAAAAAAAAAAUCCCACCUACACAUCUGUCUGCCAUGGAGAAAAUGCAGGGAAGUUUUCUGACAGUUCAUGAUCUGUAUUGUACUGUAUUGUACUGUAUUGUAAGCUUCAUAGGAAGAACUGGACUCACUGCAAACCUGAACCUGAGCAGUGGCUGUGCAAGGAUGAGAGGGGUCUGCUGCCUUUGUCGUGGUGAUCAGAGUAACCCCUUGGCCCCCAUCCUGUAAUCCAGCUGAGGGAGGGUAUGGAAGCUGUGUUUAAGCCACAGUUCUGAGAGGAUCUGCAUGGAGGAUGAUUUAGCAACCUGGAGAGCCACCAGGAUUGCCUCAACAGAGCUAGUAAGGCAGUUCUCACCACCCUGUCAGCUGAAGUAAGAGCAGACUAAAGCAAAUGUGUAAAGCCUUGAUUAUAGUCAAAUGUUUGGUAGAGGCAAGAUAAGGGUUCAUUAGAUAGCAGGCAAGCUGGGCAGUCUAGCACUAAGGACCACAUGCAGUCAUUUCUCAGAGACAGAAAGGAUUUGUUGUCUCAACAGUCAACAUGCUUUUUUACUGGGUAUCCCACCAAAACCAUCUUCAUUUGAGUUUUGUGUGGGAAUCUUAGCUUCAGAUAGGCAAGAAAAAGGAGGGACAUAACACCCUCAAGUGUCUGCAAGUACAGAACUGUUUGCAGGGAAACUAGAUGAUAGAUGAUAGAAAGGUGCUGUGUGGCCUCAGGCACCCUUUGCACUCAGUGCAGGGCUCAAGGGAGACCUGUGUAUGGCACCCUAACUUUGAGCACCAUGCUUUGACCCUGAGGUGUAAGGCUGCUUGGGCUGUGGGACAGGGGAGCAGAGAAGAGAGGCAGGCACUUCCUUCCAGGGGCAUUCCACAGCAGACAGGUCAGGAUCCUGUGUUGGGACACUUGGACAGGCAGGAAUUCCAGCUUGGGAAUCAGGCAUUCUCCUGGUCAGGCAGAGGACAUGAAGGUGUGAACAAGCUGGUUCCUCUCAGUGCCCAUAGAGAUCCAUGAGCUAAUGUGCAUAGAGUGCAUGAGCAAAUUUGAACCUGGGGUUGCACCCUUGUCAACAGGCCUUGCCUUGACUACUGAAUCUCCUUUAUGGCUGGAAAGAAAAGGGGAAGGGAAAAGUGACCAACUAGCCCCUUAGCAGAUGUCAGUGAACAGCUCCAGUUGCCUUUUACUGUCCUCCAAAGCUGUGGGAACCCUGGAGGCCAAACCUUCCACAGGAGUAGCCUGAGAUGAGAGCAUAGCCCAUCUGAGAAUGUGUGGGAGAACCAAAGGGAAUUACAGAUGAUUUCUGCUUUGGAAGAGGAUCUAUCCCUCCUUUGAGAGGGUCCUAGUGCCUCUUCAUAUGACCACAUGCUUCCUGAUUUCACAGGGAGCCCUGGAUCAGUUCUCAGGAAGAAAAUGGCUUGGUAAAGGCUGAGAGACAACUAGUUUUUCUUGCCUUCCUUCUCCUCUUCUGUGUGUCAUUCCUGGCACAUUGCAAAGCACAGCCCCUGCCCCCUCGUGCCAGAAGCCCAAUAGGGAGGGGAUACAGCAGCGGCAGGAAAAGCAGGGUCUUCUGGUGCUCCCAGGACAGGCUGAGCACUUGUGACUGAUCUGGCCCCAUGGGCAUGGUCUCCACUACCCUAACCUGGCCAUGCCUUAUCCCGAGGUAGAAAUGCCUUCCAUGCUGAGGGAAGUGUUUUCACACAAGGACUUGGACUCAUGCUUUAACAACCCACCUUGCUUCUACUAUUUUUGGAGACUGUCUAAAGGAGUGAAGCAUGUGCAUCUGACUCCAGCUGAAAUACAGCAAAUUCCAGUUCUUCAGAAAAUGUAUCUUUGCAACUACAAGAUAAUUUUUAAUCUACCACAUCCAAUGACCCAUAUACUGCUCAUGUCAAGAUCAGGAGGUCUUUGAGGACAGUUAUGGGUGUUCCCUCCUGUGUAGCACCUUCUCUUUCUCUUCAGCUGCUUUCCUUCAAUAAAGGGUCUGCCGUCUCAGUCUCUUGGGUAUCCACCAAACUUUUCUGCUCCAUGUUUUCAACUGUGAUUUAUUCACACCCUUCCUAUUAGACCUGGAGAGAUUUUUUUUUCUCUUUCCAGCCCCUUGGUUUUAUUAGUGCACAAAUGUGUUGGUUGUGCAGAGGCACGCACGUGAUGGGAUUUAACCGGGAGCAUUUCACCCGGCCAGAUCAGAAUCUACCUCCUCUUGACUGCACACAUAUCACUGCCUCAAAAUGCAGUACUUCAUGUAAUUUUGAUUCUGACAGUAAAGGCUGCACUGAAAUCUCAUCUGGGCUUGUUAGUGAUAUAUUGACUUAAAAUACCCUGCUUUAAAGAAGUCUAGGAAAGCAAAGCAAGAAAAACUCCAAUCUCCCACUGAAAGCCAGUCCUUUCAAAGGAGAAUGAGCGGUUUGUGGAAUAGAAGCAUUUUCAGUCCGAGGGAGACAGAUAAUGUGUAUUUCAACAAAGCCGAAAUAUUUCUGGGUUAUGUAGUCUUAAUAGUUCAUGUUUUAGUAGGUGUAGCUAGUGCUACAGUCUGAAGCUACGUUGGUAAAAACCAUUCACUCCCCUCCUGCUGUCUAUUACCAAGUCCUUGCUGCAGCCUCCAAACAGCUUAAGCUAUGCUGACUGUAAAACAACGUAGAAAAUUUUCCCAGUGCAGGCAGGCUUGAAGAAGAAACCAGUUUAUUGCGAUUCAUGUAAGUGAAAAAUACAUGACAUUAAGUUGCUUCCCAGAGGCAUUGGUAAAUGAAUAAUGGAUAAACAAUGUCAGUGACCCCCCUGUCACUGAGGCACCAAAAAAGAACAGCAGGCUGAGGGUUUCAUUCAGCCUGGUGUGAAACUUCCCAAUAGAAGGAGUCCCAGACAGAAAGAGGUACCUGCCACUGCUUUAUAUGGAGAUUACUUUCCCCAUGAGCACUCACUUCACUAUAAAUUUCUUCUGCUCUGUGGAUUUACACACUAAAAAUAUGUAAUAGGGAAGGAAUAUAAACUCCCUCUUUGUGGUAUCGCUGGCUCACAUAUUGCAGCUCAGCAGUCAUGGACAGCAUCCAGCAUUAACGCUCAAAGCGAUCUGCCAUAUUUAUGACUUCUCCAGCCUCACAAGAGCAAGAAAGGCUGGCAGAGAGUGAUUGAAGUACAGCUGAAUGAAAUGCAUAGAAUAAAGAGGGCAAAAAUAAAAUAUUUUUAGAGUCUGAAUUCCUAGAGAAAUGAGAUCUAUGCAAUGCAACUUGUCUGGGCAAGGAUGUGUGUGUGAUGGGUUGCUAUUUCCACAAACCCCACUCCACAGUUUGAUUCUGCUCAGCUGCUGCCAAUGACUUUUAAGAGGAGAACGUCAGCAGUCUUGGAGGCAAUUCAGUUUGUCCAUCAUGAAUGGAAACAGAUGCAUAUGCCUAAUAAGCUUAUGCUUAUUAGCCUUAUGGAAAGGCUUAUAAGCUCGCCAUCAUUAAGCAUCAGACUACAAAAAGAGGCUAAAGGUUUUUGAAACUGUACUCACCUAUUCUGCAGCCCACAAAACUUCCCCUCUGUGGCUUAAACUGGCUGAAUGAUAUCCUUGUAUGUGUUUCAAAUGCAUUUCCCAGCUUCUCCAGAAAAAAAAAAAAAGGUAAUUUGGAUGUACAGGUCACCUGGGAAGAGGUGGCUACAGUUGCAGAGUCUUAUUCUUCUGCCACCUUCUGAUUUCUCUGAAACCAUCUGCAGCUGCAGAUGCUCCUCUCUGGGGGCAAAGCUGCCAUCACCCAGACUGGGCUUUGCUGAGGGCACAGCAGCUUGUGUGCUGCUGCUUGUGAAUUACACCAGUGCAUGUGCAAUGUGGAGAGGAUCCUUGAAUUUAUAGAAGUUGUUCAGGCUUCUGGGUGUGCCUGAGAAAGUGAACAUCACCAUAUCUACAAGCUGGGAGAAGAGCAUUGUGUUCUGCCACACAAUGAAUGAUUUUUUAAUUUCACAAGCAUAACUGGCAAAUUUUGGUGUGGGGAGAAGGGAGAAGUUCAAAAGUAUACAGUCAGACAUUGUUUUGCAAGAUCAACAAUUUUAUAUAUAUCCAAAUGGAAUUGCUUCCAUUAAGAAGAUCCCCAAAUAUACUGGUUUCCACAGUAGGCAAACAAAUCCUAACAAUUAAUGCAAUGACAUCAAAGACAGCCCAUUAUCUGUGUUUAUAAUUAAUGUGGUCUUGGUGAAGCAGUGAUGAGUGGAUAUUUACUGCUUCUUGUUACAAACAAUAGUGGUACCCAGGUUUUUGCACCCACAUUUGUAACACAUUGGAAGAGGGGGAAAAUUGCAAAACUGGCUAAUAUCAAGUGCUUCCAUCCAGAUAAAGCUGUGAACAUACUGUCUGAUGUUCAGAGGUGAAAAAGCACCAACAGUUUCCAUUUCAUCACUUUUAAAAUCAGAUCACUUGCUCAGGUGCUGCUGUGAUUGAUAAUGCCAGUGUUUGCUUCAGAAAUGUUCAGGCUCACACCUCUGUGAAGAAUAUCCAGGACUAGGAAAAAAGUUUCGGCCUACACUGCAUCUGAAUGAAGUGGAGCUCACACUGUGGUACUGAUUAUUUCAGGUCUGUAGAAUUGAAGAAAGCUCUCUCUCACCACAUGCCGUAUCAGCUUUCACUCAAAACCCUCCCAAACAGUAAAAACUUUUGACUUGAUUGCAGCCGCUAAAGCAGGAUUAAAUGUAUAACCAGUGGAUGAACUGAGAUCCGUUUGACUCUGAAGAGAGCCUCAAGCAAUGAUUCAAAACUACAUGAACCUUCAACUUCAGUUCACUCAGGGCCGUGGGGUCUUCAGUUGGUUCAUUAUUUUGCAGAGAAUGGGUCUUUCUGCCCUGCAGGGAUCUAUUUAUCUCUGCUGACUCUCUGCAUCUUCUCCACAUGGAAGAAGUAAUUGGAUUGUAUUUUCUGCACACGACCAAGACAGCAGGGAAACCCAGAGCUGUAAGCCAGGGAACCAAGCUGGCUAGAAGUUUCCCUCUCAAAGGCUGGGCCUGGGCCUCACCAGCAUACCUAAUAAUGUCAGCAGGACUAAGGACAUGAAGGGGAUGAGGUGUCCCAUACUCAGCAGUGGAACCAUGCCAGUACAAAGAUCAAAACCAAAAGCAACUGGACCUCAGACAAAGGAGGAGAAAGGAAGUUGUUGAGGUCUCCACACAGAUGUCUGAUUACAAUUCCACCAAGGUGGAUUUGAAAUUGUGUCAGAACUCAGCCUCUUCUCCCCAGUGCCUGUGGAGGCAGCUUCCAGCAUGACACAUCCCAUCUUUGACUCACCAGAAGACAUGCUUCAAUUCAACUGGAAAAUAGGAACUUAAGGAAAGAGUCUGAAAGUCUGUGGCAAGCCUAUAAGGACUGAUGUAUGGCAUGAUUGUAAAGUCUAAUUCUAGACUGAAAAUCAAUGAAUAGACAAAGAUUCAUAUUUCUAAGAAAACAAAGAUAUAAAUCUACAGCCAUUUUGACAAACGAUGUGCAGAUUUCUCCUGGGGAACAUGCAAAGAAGGCCCACACCUACGGAAAGGCUGUCCCAAGAUUAUGUCACCUACAUGUAUCAUGAAGGAAUUUUCUUCUUGGCUGCUCAGAGGAGGAUUUUUAACAUUUGCCUCCCAUUUACUCCACAGCAUUUCAUUGCUGAGUAACUUGUGCUUCUUCACACCAUUUUAAUUUGAUGGCAUGUACCAGUAAUGCAGAGAUCUUUCUUUCCUAAGGGAAAUUAAGAAAAUAAUUCACUCUUUUGCUCAGUAACUCAACUGAAUUCAAUUUGGGUUCUUUUAGGAAAGGUGCUUACCUAGUUCCAUCAAAUUAAAAUAUGGAAGGAAAAAUGUCAAUAAUAAUGACCAUCUUGUCAUCACAGUUCUUAGUUCUUUCAUACCAUGCUUCCUCCACCGAGAAUUUUAUUUUGCAGAGGGAAAAACUAACAUAAAAUCUGAGAAGGCUUAAGUCAUAUCUGUAAUUUUUGCAUAUUACUAAAUACUAACAUACACUAUGUGCAUGGAACAAAACUUCUGCAAACUAGUUUUCACAUUGAUUUGGUUUUUUGACCUCAUUUGUAAGAUUUAAAUUUUAAUUUUUUCUUAUAUUUACUUCGAUGUAUAUUUGCCAGAUGAAUCUUAUGCACAGAAAAAGGUGUAAUAAAAGGGCAGAAGUAUCAGCUGCAUUAUGUGUCCCUAAGAGACAGAGAAAAACGUUAUUUGGAAAUUUCUGUGGCACAGAGCCCUGCUGGCAGCUGCUGAUCUCAUUCCUAUCCCCUCCAUGGGGUUGUUAACACAAGGACUCAUGAGGGAAUGGCUGAGGACUGGAAAGGCCAUGACCAAAGUGAAUAUUGAUUCUCUUUUUUCCUUGGUGUGGCUGCCUGCAUAGAAAACAUCGAUGAGCAGUGCAGCCUGAGAGAAGGCUGAAUGAAUUAAUGGAAGAGAGAACCCUCUUAGAGCUACUGAAUACACAGAAGAUCAGCCUGGCUCGGGAUGUGUCUGGGCUGCAAGUACUUUGCGGUAGAGAGGAGAGGCUGCUUGCGAUUCCCCGCUCUCACGCUCCUCGUUCCAACAUCAGCCUUUGGGCAUUAGCAUUAGCUGUUCCUAUUUCAUUAUGCUUUUAUUUACUGUUGGCAGGAGAGGAGGACUGGAAGCUGCCCAGAGUGCUGGCUGCAGCCACCGAGAGACCUCUUUCCCCAGUGCUGGCUGCAGCACAGAAUUGACAGGCGCUGAGUAAGUGUGUUUCAUAUCCAGAGAAAAUUUUCCAGAGUGCCUAAAUGGCUUGAAACUGCAGGUUCUGAUGGCCAAGAUGAAGCAACUUGCUUGGGAAACUGCUUCCAAUUAGCCUUCUCUCUUUUGGUCUCUCUCCCUGUGUUUGUGCAUUUUCAAUUAUGCAGAAAUGUAUCAUUUAGCUUCACUAUCCUUUAUUUAAGUGGAGAAGAAACAGGGAGCUUCAAAACUGCAGAGUACCUUGAAAUAUUUUAACUUCAACCAUUCUGUCUCUGAUAGAUAAACAUGUAUUUCCUUUUUAAUUCUCAGUCACGUUAACUGGUACUAGUAACUUCGUACCCACAAGCACAGAACACUAGAUGGAUAGACUGCAGCAAAACGAGUUACAUGUUGUAUUUAGAAACAAGUACCUUUAAAAAAUUUACCUGUCUGCCAAGACUUGGAAAAACGAGAAAGCAAGUUCAGCUCAGUACACAGAGCAGUUCCUCACUGCCUGACUCUCCUCACGGCUGCUGGGAACGCCUGGCAUGUCAGGUAACACAUGCUGAGCAAGAGCCAAAAAGCUCUUCGUUGCUUGUAAAAAUGAAACAAGCUCCUUAUUGGAAAACAGCUCUUUUCAGAGGCAUUACAGCUGUGGAUGAUGCUAUAGCCAUACUUCUCAGCCAUCAGGCAGAGUGCCUACCCGGGACCAGCUUUCAGCAGUGUCAGCAGGUAAGAUGUACAAUGGGGACAGGUCCAGUUGUCUUGUGCCAGAGCAUCCUACCUUUCUUUAUGCCUUCAUUGCACAAACAACACACACUAACAGCAAACAUUUACAUGAAACAAGCAAUGAUUAAAUAUACCUAUAUAAUUGUUCACAGUCCACUAAGUCAGGAGAGCCCCUGGGUCACCCUGCGCUGUUUUGACCUCCAGUUCUCUCCUGACUCAUCUGCAGCUAUGCUGUUUCAUGUUGGGAGAUCUUUCAGUUUUGGCUUUGCUCUGCCAGUAGCAUCUGGUGCUGUUCUCUCCUGGUGUGACUGCAACUGGCUUCCAAUUCUUGAGGAAAAGAGACGAUUUUUUGAGGCUGUGGUGAUUUGGUGUGGUAGGUGCUGUACAGUCUCAGAUAGAAGGUCUCGACUAGCAGAGUCUCCUCAAGUCUGUUCAAGAGCUUACAAGCUGAAUGCCUUUGUAACCUCCUCCCAGGCUUGAGGGUGGCAUCAGGUGCUGGGGCUCUUUCACACUGCAGGGUUUGUAACAUCUGGCUGAUGCCAUGGGUUGUAACAAUAAAUGGCACCAUGUGCAACAAACAUCUCCAGGGGUUUCUCCGACGUCAAUCUCUCAUCUCUCCAGCUUCCUGUGCCCUGUAUCUGUCUAUAAUGCUUUAGAAAUGACAAUCCUAGCGAUUUUGACAUUGAGGAUUCAUGUGAAGCUGGUGCAGAGGCUGGCAAGAGGCUGCCCUGAUCCUCUGAGCCUGGGAGUGUCACAUUCUCUCUGUAUUUGAAGUGAAAGUGGAGAGGGUGUGGAAGGGUCAGAUGGACAUCCAUAUGAUCUCACUUUCUUUUGUGUCAUGGGACUUUGUGCACAACUGGCAAUUACAGAUUUAGUCCUGAAACUCACUCCAAGCUUCUGACCUGCUGUCACACACUAUUUUAUGCAGCAUGUUAUGUCCAACAUGACUGUAAUGUCUUCUGUCUUUCUCACAUCCAGCUCUGUCUCCUGCUUUUUUAAACUUCUCUCACAGGAAUUUCUUAGGCAGAAUUUUCUUCCAUUAUUCAGACUCAAAUCACUUUUCACUGCUGUUUUGUUCCACAUCAAAGCCUGUAACCUCACCCCCUUUGCACUUGGGGCUCCCAAAAGCCUAGAGAGCUGCUCUGAGGAAGCUGGUCUCUGUGGAGCUGGGGCAAUGAGCUGGGGUGGCUCUACACCAUCCUCUUAUUGAAAGCAAACAGACCUGUGCAUGCUGCUUGAUUUCCCCCCACCCCCCAGGGAUCUGGCUGGGCUAUCUCCCUGCCAGUUCACUGUUUUCCCUGUCUGACAGUGUUUGCUGUGGGCAGUCAUGCUUGGCCAGAGGAUAUGCUCCAUGGCUCUGCUCAGGCAAGCCUGUCUCCCACCUGUUCACUGAAUGUUGGGUAAAGAAUGCCUGACCUUUGCUGGAGCUACUGGUGGCUGCUAAGAGAAAUACUGGGAGUCAGCACAGGCACAUCCCUCAGUGUCCACUGUGGGCAGUAGGCUAUAGUGAUUGCCAGAGCCUCCCUUCUGGGCUGUGAAGGUUUUGCAAACAGCCCUUCUGUGUGAUAUUCUGUGCAGCAUACCCGGCUUGCUGUAUUCCAGAGGUGUUGCUGGGCACUACCCUCUCCUCAGCCGAGAGCUUUGGAGGCCCAGUAACAUGUGUUAUAUUUGUCUGAGUGCUCAGCAGUGACCUCUUUGUGAUGCUGGCUGAUCUCUCCCGGGCUGGAUCUGUUUCUCUCAAUAAUUUCCCUUGCACUCUGAAAUUCCACAAGCAGCUCUUGUUUUUAAUUAGGGGCUCCAAAAUGUCUCCAAAGAUAUGCGUAGUGUCAGAAAUCUUACAUCUGAAACAUAAGGCUCAAUUGCCUCAUAUUUUUAUUUUCACUUUUGAGCACAAUUACUGAGUCCCUCUACAGUCUUACUCUGUCCAGGUCAAGUCUUCAAAUAACUUUCUUGAUGGUUCAAUUGUUCCAAGUACUAUUUUGAAAAUAAUAAGUGACUCUCUCAAGUCACUUCUUGUCCUUUUUGUUCAGUGAGACAGUGAAAAGUUUUACUUCCAAGUUUUCUCACUCUCUUUCAUGGCCAGCUCCGUGUAUCUAUUCCCUGCUUAUAUGAACACUUCAGAAUGGCUUUUUGUGCUCUCAGUCCCUUCUGGCAGUUUGCCUGCUUCAUUCCCAGGCUGUCUUUCUGUAUCUACUGCACUGGCUGAUAAACUCUGUCCCACCUCUCAGAAAGGGACAGUUUAUUUCCAGCUGCAGUUCAUCCCUUUGGAGAAGCAUUACUACUGAUGUUAAUAAGAGAGAAAUCCUGUUAGAGUCUGCAGCAAACAUCCCUCAGGUAGUUGCAGCAAAUGAGGAAAUAUUUAAAGGUGAGCUAUGUCCUAAUAUCAUCUGUUGGAAAGGACUUUAUGUUUCAUGUAUUUCAUGUUAUUGCUCUGAAAGACUAAACUCAGGAGCACAUUACCAAUUGAAGUGCUUGUGGAAAUUAAAUCCAUGUUUAAAUGAAUUUGAAACUUUUAAUGCAAAAUUGAGCACUUAGAAAUUUUGCAUCAACUCCUACUUAAUUAAAAUUAAUAAGGUUUCAGCGAGUUUUAGUUGGGAUAGAUGAGGAAGGAAUUUGGCCUUAAAUGUGUAAUUAAAAUACAAUUACAUUGGAAGGAAGUAAUUACUGAGGUUGUACCUCAAAAGCAUACCUAAUGGGCUAUCAGGAGAAAAGGUUUAUGUGUUUGGUUCACCAGCUAUAUAAGAUAUAAAAGGAUGUAGUCACUGAAAGAAAGAGAUAUUAGCAAGAUCAUUUAGGUAGAUAAUAGCAGCUCUUUUAUGGCCAAAUCACUCUGGCUACAUUUAGGAAGGGGACUGCUUCAUCUUAGUUUGAGGUGUACAAGCACCUCCACAAGUUUUCCUUCUGACACAUUUAAUUGUUUCCCAGACCUCUCACGGGGCUGUGAGAGAAGCAAGUGUUGUUCAAGGAGAGUCAAACGUCUCUGGAAGAGGGAAAACGUAGCACUGAAAGAUCUCAGAUGUCUGAUUUUAGGAACUUUUUGACAAAGGAAUACUCAAAGUGAAGGGCCUAAUCUAACCCUGGUUAAAACCAUGGAGGGAACACUCCUCUUGGUCCCUGCACCAGUCUGCAUGAAGUCCUGAGCACAGAACCAGAAUUGUGGUGUCAGUUUUGCAUAAACCUAAACUUGGUUUUAUUUUUACAUUAUUGCCCUGGCACACCUAUGAAAAAUGGUUUAAUAAAUAUGACAUUCCACAACAUGCACAAAACAGACGGGUUUGGGAGUUAAAGUUGAAGUGUGAGCAUUAAAACUGAAGCCACUUUGUGCUCUGUGGAGACAGAACAAUCCAUCAUGUGUUUGAUUUUUGUUUUGUUUGGAUAUUUUUUUCUUUUUUUGGGUAAUGUGAUAGAUUUUGGUUUUGAAGUCAGUGGUGAGGUUUCUGUUGGCUCUACUGGAGUUGGAUUAGGUUCGUGGAAAUAAAUUGAUUAUAUUUUGUAAUAAACUGUAUAGAUAGUCAAAGAUGCAAGGUUCACAGGCCUCUUAGGCUCAGCUCCUUUUCAAGGGUUCAGAGUCAAGGAUUGCACCAAAUGGCCUGGAACACCUGGAUGCAACCUUGAGUUUAAAUCACAUCAAGAUGAUUGGGUUGUAAGUUUUUGAUUUAACCUUGUUUCUUCACAUAACUUUCUGAGAUUUCUAACUGUGAUUUUUACAAGUACAGUGUGUUUUGCAAAAGAAGUGUGGGAGAGGAAAUGUGUGCAGUGUCCCCUUUGAUCCAGUAUCAAACACAGUGUAAGUAGCCUGAUGUUUUAAUCAACAGAUACAUGUUCUUGGCAAGGAAGUGAAUUUAGCACUUAGCAAAAUGCACUCUGCUGAACUGUUGACAUUCAGUUCAUAGUCAAACUUUCAUUAGUAAAGAGAAACACAACCUUUGUAUUGAAGAUUUAGCUCAGUAAAAUAAAAUUUGGUGACAGUAUUUUCUCUCUAUGCUUACAUUCCCUGCAGCAAUGCUUGUUACAUGGGUAAGAAAUAUGUAGAGCUUGACUUAGCCUUUUUCACACCAAAACCAGACGUCUUCAGUAAUACUCAACCAGGAUAUUUUUUUUUUAAUGCAAUACCGAAGAUGUGGGAUUGUCAGUGUUGUGGUACUUCAUAAUCUAAAAUUGUUUCCACAUUAGAGCUUCUGAAGAAGCCUGGGAAGGGGUGUUUCAUGUAUGACAUUAUCAGCUCUUGCCAACAGGGCAGGACUGAUGGAGUCAGCCUUCUGUGACUGUAAUAGCACAAGCGCUUCCUUCCCUUAAGUAGUUUCUUUCUUUUCCUCCAGGGUCUUGUAGCAACUCACACCUGAAAAAGCAGCCUUUAUAUCUUCCUCAAGCUAAUUAAAUACAGAUUCAAGCAGA